GAGAGGCUAUAUGGGAUGCUGUCUCUGAGGGCUGGCCCUGGGACCACACUGCCUGAGUUUGAAUCUGGCUCCACCAUUUAUUAGUGUGUGAUUUGGGAAAAAGCAAAAUGCACUUUCGUCUUUGCCUCCAAAAGUAAUAAAGAAAAUUGUCGUAAAUGGGAUCCAGAUGAACAAGGUUCCCUGUGGGAACAAAAGAGUCUCAGUCGACAGACAGAGAGAAGCAGGAUCUGCGACCCUCCGCUGCGCGUCUGUCAUACGCGGGAUUUGUAUGCAGAGAGGAAAAGAAUUGCUGAAUAGGAUUACUACUCCGAAGGGGAAAACAAAAGAAGUUUAACAAUCAAUGCAUGAAAGAGAGCAAGCAAACCUCUCCACGGAGGUCGAAGAGAAAGAAAAGAGUUUCUUACUGAAUAAGCGCUAAACCAGAAUGUGAUGCUCAUCACAGGCCAUCUGCUAAGAGAUUGCAAAGACACAAAGAAACCUCCCUCAUCGACAGACAUGUGGCUACUACCCGCCAGGUCACGAGUGCUUACUCACGGUGGAGGACUUGAGAGCUGGGAGGCCAGCGGGCUGGAGCUCAGUGAAGCCACAGAGCCGAGUUGCGGAUCACCAGACAUGGCAAGGAGGACCAGGGCAUCCAGGAGGACCACUGCUGGGGCUUUGCUGCGUCCUGGCAGGGGUCAUCCUUGGGGAAGUUCAGUCUGCUCAAUUCCGGGAGUUUGGGAAUGGCUUGGAGAAGACUUUGGCAUGAAAAGAGCUUUUCCUCUUAGAAAAGUUGAACCAAGUUGGUUAAUAAAGUUACCCAAUGUCGUUCCGAUCAAAAGGGUCCAAAUUAUGCCUCAGUCCUGCGGCCAUAGCUGCACUGAGGGGUGGCGUGAAACUGCUUGUGGGAGGCACGUAGAUAGGAAUCAUUACCGUUUAUUGACUGCUUGCUGAGAGCCAGGCUCUCUGCAGAACCUUUACUUCAGGAUCUUAUUUAUUAAGACGCACAAUGUUCUCCAGAGGAGACAGGUCUCUUCCUGUUUGGGAACAAUCAGGAGAGAGAAAAAUUCAACCCAGGGCAGGUCUCAGUGCCAAGAGGAGCUGUCCUAGUGAGAUGACCUCCUCUUCCACAGUGCAGGUCCCCCGGACAGGAAAGACCCUGCCCUCUCAGGCACCCCACGUCUUGGUCUCCUCCACCCACCCAGUGCCAGGGAAGCCAGUCCGUCUCCAACCCAGGCUGCCCUUGCUUUAGGAGGGAUGGCUUGCUGAGCACUGCGCUAUGAGCUUAUUGUUACAUUAACUCAUUCAUCCUCACCAUAAUCCUAUGA